CAGUGGCAACGGCAAGAUACAACGGAGAAACUAAGAAUCGUGAAAAAGAAACUAUCAUCAAUCCAAAUAACGGUGAGCAUAGCUGAGAGAGUGCAAGCUAGGAACACAACGAUGGGAAGUUGGCUACAGAGAAUCAAAGAUGCUGCUUUUGAGUCUGAGGAUGUUCUUGAUUCAUUUCUCCAUCUAGAUCUCCAAGCACAAGAUGAAGACAAGGGCAAGGUUAGUUCUGUUGCUUCACCCACAGCUGGUUCUUCCUCUACAUCCACAACCGUCACCACCACUGCUGCUACCAUCACUAGCAGCGGCUCAGCAGUAAAAAAGCCGGUUUGUGUACGCAAGCGCUUCCGUUUCUCCGAUGAACAUAUCAGCAAGUUAAUUUCUGCAGUGGAUAGAUUAGUUGAGAUUGAAAGUGAGAUGCCCAUGUUCCUGAAGUUAGUGGAGCUAGAGGACAAGAGAUCAGACCAACCCAUUCAGUUGCGUACAACAACAUCCAUGCAAGGCCCCUCAAAGUUUUUUGGUCGAGUCAAUGAAGAGAAACAUCUACGGCAAUUACUUACACAGAUAAAUGAACAAUCCAGUCAGCCAUAUGAUGUUAUAUCAGUUGUUGGCAUUGGUGGUGUUGGAAAGACUGCAUUAGUGCAGAAAAUCUAUAGCCACUUCCGUGUUAAAAGUGACUUCAGUCACAUGGUAUGGCUACAUGUCUCAGAAAAAUUUGAUGUCGGACGUCUAACAAAAGAAAUGGUACAGUCGGAUAAUCUCACCAUAUGUGCUGACUUGAAAAGCAUCAGCAGUUUAGAUCAAGCUCAACGGAUACUUCAAGAAAAGCUGAAUGGGAACAGGAUUUUGAUAGUCCUUGAUGAUGUAUGGAAUGAAUUGAGCAGCCAAUGGGAGAACCUAUGCAAACCCCUGCGAUUUGCUGGUAAGGGAAGCAAAGUAAUAGUUACGACUCGAAGUAAAAGUGUUGCAAGUAUCAAUGGGGCAACAGAGAUAAUGCACUUACAUGGCUUAGAAGAUGAAGAUUACUGGGGUUUCUUUUCACAAUGCGCAUUCGGUGAUGCAAAUCCUUAUGAUUUUCCACAAUUGGAAAUUAUUGGUCGACAAGUGGUGAACAAGUUGGCAGGAUCACCUUUAGCAGCAAAGACAGUUGGGGAUUCAUUGAAACUGAAGCUAGAAGAAAGUCACUGGAGGGCUGUUUGCGGAAGCAAAUUGUGGCAGAUAGAGCAAAAAGAAGAUGGUAUUAUGUCAUCACUACGACUGAGUUAUGAGCAACUCCCUGACCAUUUGAAACAAUGCGUCGUUAACCUUGCAUUGUUUCCUAAGAAAUACCACGCACGAGGAGGUGAGGUAAUACAGAUGCGAAGAGCUCAUGGUUACCUUAACACAGAAAUACCAGAUGAAAUUGCAUAUCGUUAUAUCAAUGACCUGUUGCAGCUUUCAUUCAUUGAGAAGGUACCCAACCAAGAGGACCAUUAUGUAGUCCACGAUUUGCUGCAUGAUUUUGCAGAGUUGAUCUCCAAUGGAGAACACUUCAGAAUAGAAGAUGAGUUCCAUGUAUGUAUUCCAAGAAAUGUUCGCCACCUAUAUGUCAGUGCAAGCAAUAUAUCUAAGGUGUACAUGAGUUUGGAAGAACUCGAACUGAAGAAAAAUCUGAGAGGCUUAAUAAUAUGCAAGUCAGAAGAAGGUGCUUCCAGCGAAAGAAUAGCAUCAAAGUUUAACCAUGUCCUCGGUCAGACACUCCAAGAGCUAAGAAGCUUAAGGGUCUUAGUACUGCACAAUCCUGAUGGUAUUCUCCCAGACAAUAUCGAUUAUUUGGUCCACCUUAGGUAUCUAAACAUUCAUACAAGUAGGAGUUUUAUCAAUGUCCCCGAGUCAUUAUUCAAACUCUACCAUUUACAUGGCUUGAAUCUGCAAGCUCAUGAGGAUAUAAUCAUGCAAAGCAAACUUCAAGAGGGCUUAAGCAGGCUGACCCAGUUAAGAUACUUAAAGGCCCCGAAGAAAAUAAUUUCUGGCAUAGAAUCGAUUGGCAGGCUAACAUCCCUUGAGGAGUUAGAGGAGUACAAUGUGAAGAGUGACAUGAAGAACAAUAUAUGCCAACUAAAGGAGUUGAAUGGACUUCGAGGGAUGCUUAUCAUUAAAGAUCUUCAGAAUGUAAGUUGCAAGAAAGAAUCAUAUGAAGCAAGAUUAAUUAAUAAGGAGAACCUGAACAAGCUAACACUCUGGUGGAAUCAUCUCAAACAGAGCACCGACGACAUUGACCAUGAAGGCGUGUUUGAAGGGUUACAACCCAACCCCAACUUGAGAGAACUUUGUGUCAGAGGUUACAUGGGAGUGAAGUCUCCAUCUUGGCUAUUCAGUGAACCCUUGUCCAACAUUCACUCAAUUGAAUUGCGCUCUUGCCAUCACUGGAAGACCCUUCCACCUUUUGGGAGCCUACCCUUCCUGAGGAUAUUAAAGAUAAGGUCUUUGAUAACAGUGGAAAAUAUUGAUGCCGGAUUCUAUGGUGAUGCCGCAGUGGUAUUUCCAUCACUUGAAGAGCUUCUAUUUGAAGACAUGAAGCAGUGGAAAGGAUGGUUGGGUGUUGAGGACAGACAACAUGUAUUUCCUCGCUUGCGUGAUAUCCGUAUUUAGGGAUGUGACCAGUUGAUGGGGCCUUUACCAUUACCAUCACUAGAAGAACGCCCGUGCGUUGCAAUGGGGAAGAUAACCAGACGUGCAUCUGAAAAUACAGCUGAUGCCAACACGUCCUUCAGUGUUCAUCUGGACCGCUUCGGACUUCUCUUUAGCUAUCUUCAAACAAGCAGCCUAGCCACCAUUCAUAUGCUGGAUAUCUCAUGCUACUACCUACAAGCUUUUAACAAGAAUCAGGAGGAAUGGCUGGAACAACUCACCUCAGUGAAGGAACUUCACUUCACUGGGUGCCCGCAAUUGAUAUCAUUGCCAUCCAACAUGAUUCAUCUGACAUCCCUUGGGUCUCUAUACAUAGAGGGAUGUCCAAAACUUGAGUCACUUCCUCUGAUAGGCUUACCUCUUUCCCUGAAAAAACUCAGUGUCACAAGAAGCAGCAAAAUGUUUAGUCAGCUCUGCUCCGAGAUCAACAUAAGUAACACCAACACAAUACAGGAGGUCAUCGUGAGGGAACCUGUUGUUUGCAGUGCGCCGAAGAAAAGAAGGACAUCAUCACAAUAG
rnacentral:rRNA from 1 species